rnacentral:lncRNA from 1 species
CAGAAGCACACGCGGAUAAUAUAUAGGUGGGUUCAUUUUUUGUCAUUUAAAAUUUUCAUUUUAUAUUUUCAUUAAAAGCUACAAUGUUAAAGAUCAAUUUAACAUAUAAUAUAUAAACACUCAUGUUUGUGUGCACAUACACAUGCUACGAAAUACUUCAACCAUUAGACAAUAGAUAGCCCUAAUAACAGUUUGAAGCAUCAUGAUGAACCCUUUCACGCAAUUGAAUAUGUUUUUUUAAGAGGCAUGGAAUGCUAAUACUAUGAUAAAAGCCGAGGUAAUUGGCUUCUUCCAUAUAUUCUUGACUAGUGUAUUGUUGAAAAUUAUUGAAAUAAAUAGGCCAUUGCAGUUAAAGAGCUUGGCCAUAGUUUUCAAAUUAAUGCUGAAAUUGGAUUCAUAAUAAACAGUCCUAGGACUACGAGAUGAACUAUGCUACUUGACCUCAAGCCAUAAGCUGAUUCAAAAUCAAUCAUGAUUACAAACCAAUCCAGUUCAGCCUUGAACUGGAGUCAUUUAUGCUUCAACCUGUACUAUAGUUGUGCGUGAAAAAUAAUAGCGAAACAAGUUAUCUCACGUUUCUUUUUUGCAAAACAUUGGCUUCAGCCGAACUCUACAACCUACAAAUUAACAAAUGAAAUGUUUCCAUGCAAACAUCUAACCAGCUUCUCAUUAAAAAAAUUAACUCUUCCACUUGUGUUUAUAGGUAUACGAAUUGAAUGUUUGAGCUGCAGCUAAAGAGGAGGAUGUAGAAAUAGCAAUGGUGAAGUAAUGACAUAUAAAAAACACAUGGUGAGAAUUUCAUGCAUCAGUAACUUACAGAAGAAAGAAGAGACUCAUGGUGAGUAGCAAUAUCAAUACAAGAAACUGCACCAGACAAUGCCUUUAAACUUGUUCAUGCAAGCAACAAAAAACAAAGGAACAAAAAAGUGAGAAUGGUAAAUGAUUGCAACGCAGAAGUUUGCUUAGAAAAUCACGUUAACAAGAACCAUUAAGCAAUGUCUUAUUAAUGUUAUACCAUGAACUAUCAGCAAUGCUGCUUUCAGAAGUGCAAAUUUGCUGAGCAAACUUAUAGUUCAAGGACCAGUAGCAACCCAGAAGGAGAAAAAUCACAUUUUCCCUUUCACAUCUCACUGGACCUUUACAUGACAACCUUGUGACAGUUACAUUAGAAUUAAUCUUCGCCCAUAAUUCAAGGACCAGUAGCAACCCAGAAGGAGAACAUUCACAUUUGCCCUCUCAUAUCUCACUUGCUCUUUACAUGACUACCUUCCAACCAGGGACGGAUGUUCAAUUUUAAAUUUGGGGAGGCGAAUGUUCGUACAAAGCACAAAAAUUAGGCAUGAAAUACAAUACUAAUUAGAAACUUGGGUAUCGAACUUAUAUAAUUUGAAAAUAUUAGUAGUUUGUACUACUAUAAAACUGCAGUUUUUUUGGAGUUUUGGGGCACCUUGGGCCAUCCCUGCUUCUAACGAAAUCUGACUAUGACAUAGUCAGGUAGAAAUAUCUGCACUUAUGCUUACCAGAGUGACUGAUCUUAGGGCAUCUCGGACAUGACAUACCAACUCUGAAUCAGUUCAAUUAACAUCCUCCAUUUCAUAAAAUCCUGGCCUCUCAUAUGCUAAUUCGACCCCUAUGAUCUCUGUACCAGGUAGCUGUUCCACUGGGUCCGACAAAGUAGAUUUUGUAAACUAAGCCUGCACAGCGGGAAAAUCAUAUCGCACAACGAUAAAUUGCAAAUUAUAGCAUCAAUACGAGCUCAGUUUCAACCGUUACGUCCCCAAUUUCAGACACUAGUUCAGUUGUCUAUAAAUAUAUUUUCAUAUAUCACUCUAUUGUAAUCGUGUUCUAUGUUCAAUAGAAUCCCUCCGUGUGUUCCGGAACCCUACCUACAAACAUCAAAUAUACAUAUAUAAGUAUAGCUAUACAUAUAUAUAAAUAUAUAUAUAUAUAUAUGUAUAUUAGAGAGAGAGAGAGAGAGAGAGAGAGAGAGAGACUAGAGAGGACCUGAACAGGAAAAGAGAGAGAGGGGAAGGCCGAGUUGGAUCUGUCAGACGAUUGAAUAGUCUGGUCGGCGCAAACCCCAACACUCAAUCCCUGUUUGUCGCUCUGUCUCCUGUUGCCGCCAGACCGAUGGAACGAGAACGUCGCAAGGCUUUUCAAACUUCCAACACAAACCCUAACCCCACCGAACUACUUCUAGUCAACCCUGGUAGUUUAAUCCCCAAAAGUUCGU